ensembl:lncRNA LINC00964 long intergenic non-protein coding RNA 964
AGAAGUGACAUAUGCAGCAUGACCAGUGGAAGCUUCGAAGAGCUAUUGCCAAUUUCCACCCUCUCUCUGGAAACUGUCAUUAGGGUUAGGGAAACUGUCAUGAGAUCUGCAUAUUUUAGAUAGAGGCUGCUUGCCUUAUUUGGGCACCUAAUGAAAAAGACAUGGAGGCCAGGUGCGGUGGCUCAUGUCUGUAAUCCCAGCACUUUGGGAGGCCAAGGCGAGUGGAUCACCUGAGGUCAGGAGUUCGAGACCAGCCUGACCAACAUGGCAAAACCCCGUCUGUACUAAAAGUGCAAACACAAAGGGAACUGCGUGGCUUGUUUCUACCUGAACAUUGUCAAGUGAUUUCAUCCUUUGAAACACAGUUGUGAAGUGUGUCCAGCAGUCUGAGAACAAGAAGAAGAAGAAAAUCUAAUCCUUCAGGGUGUCUGUGUGCCAGCCCUGCUCUCAGCACUUCCCAUGUGGAACUCCUUUACUUCUCCUAACAACUCCAUGACAUGGGUUAGACUGUGAUUGUUCCCAUAUUGUUGGUAGGGAAACUGAGGCAUGCAGGUGUUACAGAGCUCUCUCAAGUGGCAAGCUUUCUGGGUGGUUACAGAGUGGCAGAGCUGGGGUAUCCCAUGAUGUCACCACACUGCUAUAUGGAAAAGAACAUUAAUCGAGCACCUACGUGCUUGAUUCUCUUAAUUCUGUGACUGAACUCUCAAAACACCCUGGGUAAGCACUAUCAUCUCCUAUUUUCACAAGUGAAAAAACUGGGAUUCAAAAAAAUUAAGUGACUUACCAAAUAUUACAGAGCUAGUAAGCCAAGACUUGAACACUGAGAUGGAAUUCUACCUUUUAAGGUGGCUAAGCAACAGAAGGAUGUUCCUUUCCCAAGGGGAGCACUGCGUGUUUUGAAAUAUACAAAUAGUGGGAAACGAAAUCUUUGUUCUGGAUGCAGUUAUAAUUUGGAAAGCGAGGAAAUAAAUUAUAACAAGGGGAAAAAACAGGGUUGCCGUGAGGAGUAAAUGAGCUGUUGCAUGGGAAGCACUUAGCAUGGGGCCUGAUAAAUAGUAAGCCCUUGGUAAUAAUUACAUCUUCCGUGAUGCUAGACACAGAGGGAUUGAAAUGCAUAACAAUAGAGAUGAAACACGAAGAGUGAUAAAUGAAGAUUGAGUGUGCACACCUUCUGGAGGAGCCCUGAUUGAGUAUUUUAACACAGAAGUGGGUGAGAGCAAAGUUGUGUCAGAGUAAGACAAUGACACCAAGCCAGAUGGUUAUCAAAAUCCACAGGAACAAAUGAAGAGAACCAGAAAUUGCAAAUAAGAAGGACAGAGUACCAGAGAGGAGAGAGAGGUACAGAGAAUUAUGGAGGUGGCUUCCGUUGAGUAUGCAGCUAAGUAAUGAUUAAUGCAUACAUAUAAGAAACUACUGGAUGACAGAGAAAGAACCACAAGCAAUUUAAAGAAUACUACUAAAGUCAUGCCGUGUGACUUCUGAAGCUAGCUCCUAAGAAGUCCUUGCAGCUUCUGCCUGCGACUCUUAGAACACUUGCUUUGAAGGAUGCCAGAUGCUGUCUUAAAAGUCUGAGCACUCUGAAACCAUCAUGCUGUGAGGAAGCCCAAGCUAACCACAUGGGCAAAAAAGAUGCCCUCUGACUGCCACCAUUUGAGACACUCUAAUUAAGAACUGCCUCAUUGAGCCCAUGAGGCCCUGUGAAUGAUAAUAAUAAAUUGUUUUUAACCAC